rnacentral:tRNA from 1 species
GGCCCGUUCGUCUAGCGGCUAGGACGCCGCCCUCUCAAGGCGGUAACAGGGGUUCGAUUCCCCUACGGGCUACCA